AGAUACCCUGGUAGUCCACGCCGUAAACGAUGUCGACUUGGAGGUUGUGCCCUUGAGGCGUGGCUUCCGGAGCUAACGCGUUAAGUCGACCGCCUGGGGAGUACGGCCGCAAGGUUAAAACUCAAAUGAAUUGACGGGGGCCCGCACAAGCGGUGGAGCAUGUGGUUUAAUUCGAUGCAACGCGAAGAACCUUACCUGGUCUUGACAUCCACGGAAGUUUUCAGAGAUGAGAAUGUGCCUUCGGGAACCGUGAGACAGGUGCUGCAUGGCUGUCGUCAGCUCGUGUUGUGAAAUGUUGGGUUAAGUCCCGCAACGAGCGCAACCCUUAUCCUUUGUUGCCAGCGGUCCGGCCGGGAACUCAAAGGAGACUGCCAGUGAUAAACUGGAGGAAGGUGGGGAUGACGUCAAGUCAUCAUGGCCCUUACGACCAGGGCUACACACGUGCUACAAUGGCGCAUACAAAGAGAAGCGACCUCGCGAGAGCAAGCGGACCUCAUAAAGUGCGUCGUAGUCCGGAUUGGAGUCUGCAACUCGACUCCAUGAAGUCGGAAUCGCUAGUAAUCGUGGAUCAGAAUGCCACGGUGAAUACGUUCCCGGGCCUUGUACACACCGCCCGUCACACCAUGGGAGUGGGUUGCAAAAGAAGUAGGUAGCUUAACCUUCGGGAGGGCGCUUACCACUUUGUGAUUCAUGACUGGGGUGAAGUCGUAACAAGGUAACCGUAGGGGAACCUGCGGUUGGAUCACCUCCUUA
rnacentral:rRNA from 1 species